rnacentral:rRNA from 1 species
UAGGGAAUCUUCCACAAUGGCGAAAGCCUGAUGGAGCAACGCCGCGUGUGUGAUGAAGGGUUUCGGCUCGUAAACGCUGUUGUAAGAGAAGAAUGACAUUGAGAGUAACUGUUCAAUGUGUGACGGUAUCUUACCAGAAAGGAACGGCUAAAUACGUGCUAG